rnacentral:rRNA from 1 species
UGUUUAGUUUUUGUGGGCAUUCGGUGGAUGCCUUGGUACCAAGAGCUGAUGAAGGACGUGGCGGCCUGCGAUAAUCCUUGGGGAGUUGGCGAGCGAGCGUUGAUCUGAGGGUGUCCGAAUGGGGGAACCUGGCUGGGGUUGUGCCUGGUCACUAUCAUCUGAAUUCAUAGGGUGGUAGGGGGAACGCGGGGAAGUGAAACAUCUUAGUACCCGUAGGAGAAGAUAUUUCGUGAGUAGUGGUGAGCGAAAGCGGAUGAUGGCUAAACCGUGUGCGUGUGUGACUCGGCGGGGGUUGCGUGUGCGGGGUUGUGGGGCUCUUUUUUCUCAUCUUCUGCCGGGGGUGGGGGUGUGUGCGUGUGCGUGUGGUGAACAUCUUGGGAUGGGUGACCGUAGUGCGUGAUAGUCGUGUAGCUGUGUGUGUGCGUGUGUGCUGAAGGGGUGCCCGAGUAGUGCGGGGCUCGUGGAAUCUCGUGUGAAUCUGCCAGGACCACCUGGUAAGCCUGAAUACUUUUUGGUGACCGAUAGUGCAUAGUACCGUGAGGGAAUGGUGAAAAGUACCCCGGGAGGGGAGUGAAAUAGUGCCUGAAACCGGGUGCCUGUAAGCCGUCAGAGCCUGCUUUUGUUGGGUGAUGGCGUGCCUUUUGAAGAAUGAGCCUGCGAGUCAGUGAUGCGUGGCGUGCUUAACCCGUGUGGGGGAUGCGUAGCGAAAGCGAGUCUUAAUUUUGGGCGUGUGUCGCGUGUUGUGGACCCGAAGCGGGGUGAUCUACCUAUGGUCAGGGUGAAGCUAUGGUAAGACGUGGUGGAGGCCCGUACCCACCAGGGUUGAAAACCUGGGGGAUGAACUGUGGGUAGGGGUGAAAGGCCAAUCAAACUCCGUGAUAGCUGGUUCUCCCCGAAAUGCAUUUAGGUGCAGCGUCACACUGGGCUUGGUGGAGGUAGAGCUACUGGUUGGUUGAUGGGCCGUGUUGGUUACUGACGUCAGCUAAACUCCGAAUGCCAUUUCAAGUGGGUGUGGCAGUGAGACUGCGGGGGAUAAGCUUCGUGGUCGAGAGGGAAACAGCCCAGAUCAUCGGCUAAGGCCCCUAAGCGUGCGCUGAGUGGGAAAGGAUGUGGAGUCGCGUUGACAGCCAGGAGGUUGGCUUAGAAGCAGCCAUCCUUGAAAGAGUGCGUAAUAGCUCACUGGUCGAGUGGUUGUGCGCCGAUAAUGUAGCGGGGCUUAAGCGUGCCGCCGAAGCCGUGGCAAUAACUUUUUGUUUUUGGGUAGGGGAGCGUCCUGCUCUGGGUGAAGCUGCCUGGUGAUGGGUGGUGGACGGGGUGGGAGUGAGAAUGCAGGCAUGAGUAGCGUUUCGUGGGUGAGAAUCCUACGCGCUGAUUGACUAAGGGUUCCAGGGGCAGGUUUGUCCGCCCUGGGUUAGUCGGGUCCUAAGGCGAGGCCGACAGGCGUAGUCGAUGGGUGACCAGUUGAUAUUCUGGUACCGUUUGUUUUCCGUCUAACGCUGCAUGCUUUCGCGUCGUGUGCUUGCCGUGCGUGGUGUUGUCUUUCGGGAUGAUGCUGAGUGUGGCUGUGUGUGGUGUGGGGUGUGUGGUGAGCAUUGGGGUGACGCAGGGAGGUAGUUGCUGCACACUGGUGGUUAUGUGUGUCUAAGGUUGUGGCCUGUUUCUUGGGUGAAAUCCGGGAAGCUGCGUUUGAUCGCGUGGGUGAGGGCUGAUGGGGCUGCCUGUUGGGGUGGCUAGUGGUGAUCCUGUACUGCCGAGAAAAGCCUGGAUGUGAGGAAGAUGAGCGCCCGUACCCUAAACCGACUCUGGUGGUCAGGUAGAGUAUACCGAGGCGUGCGAGUGAAUCAUGGUUAAGGAAUUCGGCAAAUUGCCCCCGUAACUUUGGGAUAAGGGGGGCCCUGCUGGUGUGCCUGCUGUGCGUGGGUGGUGCUGGUUGGGGUCGCAGAGAAUUGGGAGAAGCGACUGUUUAUUAAAAACAUAGGUGUGUGCUAAGCCGUAAGGCGCUGUAUACGCACUUAAGCCCCAGUAAACGGCGGUGGUAACUAUAACCAUCCUAAGGUAGCGAAAUUCCUUGUCGGGUAAGUUCCGACCUGCACGAAUGGCGUAACGACUUCUCCGCUGUCUCGACCGUGAUCUCGGUGAAAUUGCAGUACGAGUAAAGAUGCUCGUUUCGCGCAGCAGGACGGAAAGACCCCGGGACCUUUACUAUAGCUUGGUAUUGGUGUGUGUUUGUGCUUGUGUAGGAUAGGUGGGAGACUGUGAUGCCGUGCCGCUAGGUGUGGUGGAGUCGUUGGUGAAAUACCAUUCUGGUUCAAGUAUGCAUCUAACUUGGAGCCCUGAUCGGGUUUGGGGACAGUGCCUGGUGGGUAGUUUAACUGGGGCGGUUGCCUCCUAAAGGGUAACGGAGGCGCUCAAAGGUUCUCUCAGCCUGGUUGGUGAUCAGGUGGUGAGUGUAAGUGCACAAGAGGGCUUGACUGUGACACUGACGGGUGGAGCAGGUACGAAAGUAGGAACUAGUGAUCCGGCCAUGGCUUGUGGAAGCGUGGUCGCUCAACGGAUAAAAGGUACCCCGGGGAUAACAGGCUGAUCUUGCCCAAGAGUCCAUAUCGACGGCAUGGUUUGGCACCUCGAUGUCGGCUCGUC